AACGCACAUUGCGCCCCUUGGUAUUCCGAGGGGCAUGCCUGUUCGAGCGUCAUUAUGACCACUCAAGCCUAGCUUGGUAUUGGGGUUCGCGUGCUCGCGGCCCUUAAAAUCAGUGGCGGUGCCGUCUGGCUCUAAGCGUAGUAACUACUCUCGCUAUUGAGUCCGGGCGGUUGCUUGCCAAAAUCCCCCACUUUCUUAGGUUGACCUCGGAUCAGGUAGGGAUACCCGCUGAACUUAA
rnacentral:misc_RNA from 1 species